rnacentral:rRNA from 1 species
AAAUGAAUUGACGGGGACCCGCACAAGCAGCGGAGCAUGUGGUUUAAUUCGAAGCAACGCGAAGAACCUUACCAGGGCUUGACAUAUACAGGAAUAUGCUAGAGAUAGCAUAGUCCCUUCGGGGACUUGUAUACAGGUGGUGCAUGGUUGUCGUCAGCUCGUGUCGUGAGAUGUUGGGUUAAGUCCCGUAACGAGCGCAACCCCUAUCUUUAGUUACCAUCAGGUCAUGCUGGGGACUCUAGAGAGACUGCCGGUGAUAAACCGGAGGAAGGUGGGGAUGACGUCAAAUCAUCAUGCCCUUUAUGUCCUGGGCUACACACGUGCUACAAUGGUCUGAACAAAGCGCAGCGAACUCGUGAGAGCAAGCGAAUCGCAUAAAACAGAUCUCAGUUCGGAUUGUAGGCUGCAACUCGCCUACAUGAAGUCGGAGUUGCUAGUAAUCGUGAAUCAGAAUGUCACGGUGAAUGCGUUCCCGGGUCUUGUACACACCGCCCGU